AAGUCGUAACAAGGUCUCCGUAGGUGAACCUGCGGAGGGAUCAUUACUGAGAAUUUGGGCCUCUCUUUCCUCGGAAAUUGAGGUUCCUUCUUCCUUUAACCCAAUGUUUAUCUUACUUUUGUUGCUUCGGCGGACGUAUCUUCGCGAUACCGUUGAGGUCUCAUAUCUCUUCGAGAGCCGCCGAAGGAUUUUGCAUAAAACUCUUUGAAAAUCAGUUUUGAAUACCUGAAAUUUGAAUUAUAAUAAAUAAAAACUUUCAACAACGGAUCUCUUGGUUCUG
rnacentral:misc_RNA from 1 species